CUGCACUCAAGCCUCGCCCCGACACACCAAAUUUGGGCACGUUUCACAGCGUUGCGUUUUGGUUUAUGACGUGUUCAUGCUGCAAUAUCGCAGCCAAGUUCGCAAUUUCACUUGAAAGCCAGUGUUUGAAGUAGCGUCUUUGUUGAGGACGGAAUCAUGCUGCAAUACAGUGGCCGAGUUCGCUGUCAAACGUAAACGCUGUACUUGGCUCAAGGCGAUGUGUGCCUUUUGUACCCAUUUUUUUUUCCAAGUGACGUCGUGUAUGCUGAUGUUCCACAAUGAACCACAGUCAGGUUGAUUUUUAAUAUUUAAUUUUAAUAAAAAAUACUGAGCAAACGACCACAUAUCGCGACAGCGCCGUGCGCUUCGCCAAGUGCAUCACCAGAUCGUCACGGUGGGUGAACGAGCUACAAACGCACGACUGACUCUCUUCAUAUCCGUCGAAGAGUCAAGAAGAGCGAAUUACAACCACAGCGUAAGGAAGAAGGAGUAAGUUACCGCUAUUUUCGUACUGUUUUGACACGCCUUUGAGUCAGUUUAAGCCAACAUCUAAACCUUGAAGUUCGUACUUCGCUAUGUGCUAGCUAGGCUGGUUAGCAACAGUUGUACGUGGUACCGCUUCAAAACGAUGGGCAACACAAUAGGACCAAGUGGCUUUCCUCAGCUUUUUAUAGCCUCCCAGCCAUAACAUUAUGACCACGAGGGUGUUAACUGGGGUCGAGGCGUCACUAACUUUAAAUUGAUGUGCAUCAAUGAGCAUUGUAUAAGGAUAAAAACAUGGCUGGACAUGAUGAUGCUUUGUACCUGUGACACUUAUUUCAGAUGUCUUCAAAACAGGAGGGGGGAAAUUCUGAUGGAUGUGGUCAUUCACUCAGAAGAAUUCAGAAACCUAUUUGUGUUGUUGCGUGGAGGAAAGUGCCUGGAUCUGAACUCACCCCCUUGUGACCUGUUGUGUGGCGAUAUGAUCUCCAAAACCUGAAUAUUUAUGAAGCUGUUCUCCUCAGUCACCAUCGUCCUCGGGAGUCAUCGAGAGGGGCGGACACUGGAGAACAAGCGCACACAUCUACGACUUAUUCUCACUGACUUGUGUUGUGACUGUUGUUUUAGAUAUAGUAAAUGUCAUGUCUGCUUUUGUUAGUGUACAAAGGCAACCCUCGUAAAGUCAUAGCAAUAUCAAAGGGGCUGCACUAAACACCUUCAAAGUCCUGAGUACAAAGUUACAUCAACUUUUCAUGUGCACCUGGGGGACAAAUGCCGAACAUACAGUGUAUAUUCAAUGGAGCUUAAUGCGAUCGAUCGCCCGGGCCGUUUCAAGAUCAGCGCCAGUGUGAGUCCACAGUGCUUCCUGGGUCUGCGCCAGGUCCUCCUCCCAGUUGGACACCCACCCAGCUGAAGAACCCAACACAUGCGUCUUAUUUUUGAGCCCUGCCCGAAGCUCAUGAGCUGGUGUGAAGUUUGCCCUCUUCGGCCGACGAUGCGUCUCCUGACCCUCCUGCACCUCCUGUGUCCUGCUCUCAACAGUUCAACAGCUCAGUCAUGCUCUCUCUAUCUCCCUCACUCUCUCGUCCUCCUGCGAGCUGUGUGUCUCUUUCCUGUAUGCAGGGGGGCCAGCGGAGGGGAAGUACACGAGAAAGAAAAGCACUGAGUUCAAGUGCACAGGCUUAAAGACACAGCUGGCCGUGACACGGCGACCUCAACCAAAGAUGGGGCGUCUAAGGCAGAAUUAUUUCCCCGAGACACAUGGAUUAUGUUGGGGAUCAUUUCACCGAUUCUUCCUGGAAAAUUAAAAGAAAACUAAGAAACCACCCAAUUGCCCUCGCUCCACGUAUACUCCUCCUUUUCCCUCCCUCCCUUUCUUUCACUCGCCGUCCCUCCCUCUCUUCUCCUUCAUUCCUACUCUACAUGCACGCACACACAAACACGCACAAUGACUGACGCCUUCUCCUUUUCUCAGCUCCGGCUCAAUGCACCACGGAGACGUGUGUUUGUCGUCCACGUACGGUACAGUCGAACCGGUUCUCUGCAGCUGCAGCACACUCUGUCCUGGCCGCACACUUUUCCUGCUGGCCACUUGGUCCAGCUGUCGCGCCAUACUUUCCGCCUCCCUUUGUUCACAAGUCUGCUAAAUCACCUCAGGACAAGACUUUUGAAAGAGAGGGGACCAAACGUGGAGCGGUAAGAUGCACGGCUGCAAGUCCGGAGGACGAAUCUGGAGACGAGGGAGCAUGUUGAGAUCUUCCUAGAAGCAAGGUAAGUUGUUUGACUGCUUGAUUUGUGUUGCAGUGACCUUAAAAAGUGCACAUGUUGUCGCUGCCUUUCUACGCUGCGGUGCGCUCUGGUUUCUGUCGGCUUGUGUAGCCAUAGUCAUAUCCCUCCCACUGCUGCUGGAGCGUGGAGACGCCACACGUUUCCUCCUUCCUUUGAAAUCUCCCACAGAUUGUGGGCUGUAAAGCUAAAAAGUAUGCGUCGACUCUAAUGGUUUUAAACGUGCUUCGCUUUGUAUUCUGUUUGACAUUAACACCAUCUCACCUCCACUUCCCCAAACUGUUGUUGCUCUAGACGUGGCCCCCUCUCACUGUGUGCUGAAUUGCCACAAGGCUUUCAUCGCAUUGCUGUCUUAAAUUCGAUCGUCACCUGCGCUCCCAUCUUAUCCAAGUCCAUCUCCAUGGAGACCAGAUAGGAGUUCUCAGCCAGCACAUACCAGCACGACUGCAGGGAGGCUCGCUGAGACGUCCCUCUGCUGCGAACCAUUCGCUGAUCGCAGACCUCCAAUUUGAUGUAUGGAAAACACCAGAGACUCGUAUAGACAAGCGGCCCAAGUUAAACACAAGAGGUGCUGAUGUGAUUGUGACACAGCAUUGUGUAGCGACUCCUCAAUUUCCCCAGGGGAGCCUCCCAAAGCAUCAAUAAAGUCACCUGUAAACAGAUGACUUUUUCUGAAGUGUUCCUCCUGUAGGGAUGAGCUAGUUCUGGAAGUAUUAAUGCUUUGACUCAUCAGACAUAUCAAGCCAGAAGAAUGUGUGGUUUUGCUGUGAUAUUUUAGCUCAUUUGUUAUGAACAUCUCAGUCAUGACCUAGUGACAAGGUCAAAGUCAAGAACACUAGUGACCAGAAUUGGCUUAGUGACGUGAAGGUAUCCAAGGUUUCUCUGUGGCUGUGACUGCAGAUAAUCUACUCUGGCCUGGGGACAACUCAUUUGUCUCUGCGUGGCCCCGCAUUAUCAUGUAGUGACCAUUGUUGUUGACUGUGUUUUUUGAGCGCCGUCUGAAAAUCUUUAUUUACAAAGAGCCUUUGGUGCAUGGCAACUCGAAUUGCUGCCUUGAAAUAGAACAGAAAACGGAUGAGAAAAGUCCAACUUCCAACAAAAAUGGUAUAUAGUUCUGAUCACGUAUAGAGUAAUUUGGAUUGUCCUGGGUCAAAAUCUGGAAAUGACAAUUAUGGCCAUCUAUAAAGCAAAUCAAGUGAUGACCUCCCGUCUCCACCCGUCCUGUUGCUGGCUAUAGCCUAUACCAGGAAUAAAUAUGUAAUGGAGGCCUGUUUGGUUCCAGGAAAUACUACCCUCCCAAAGAUAACACAUUUCCUCAUUGUGUUUCUUGAAAAUGUCACACAGUUGUAGACAAAAGGGCUUUUAAAAUACAGUCUAGGGAAGUCGUGAUAAAUAAUCUUUUGAAAAGAGGAAACGGAAAAUUGAACGCAACGUGACCUAUGUAGCUGUCAUACUUAUAGGCUGAGUCCGCUCCUGCGUGUGCCCCCCACUAACUUGACCCUUCACUUUAAUUCAUGGUGAUGUGGAAGAGCAGGAGGACGGCCACACACAAGCCGGCGUGAUGAGAAAGUGGUGCACCAUGUGACCACUGUGGGUGGACUCUCUCACGGCCUGACUGAGCGUUAUUCCCCCCAGACCGUGUGUUCCACUUCCAGCAUCAGCGCUCUUCUGCAGGACAUUUCUACCCCCUUCAUCUGCUGCUGCUGACAAAACCAGAACAAUUGCCAUAUUUUACCCCUGGACUUGAAUGAGCCGUUGAUCUUUUUGUCAAGAUAUUGGAAGCCAUUCUUUGGCUUUAUUAAUAGAGUGACUGUAAGGGACACACUGGAAAGGAAUAAUGAGAUAAAUCUGUGGAUGAUGCACAGUCAGAAGGACACGUGUUGGUUAGCAGGACGCUACAGGAGUGGCAGGGGAAGCUUUCCCAAAUCUGUGCCUUUACGUUUGAGAUGAUGCAGAGAUGUUUUCUCCUCACUUCUCCUCAAGUUCCCAUCAAUUACCCUCCUGCUCAGCGGGACCAGGUGGCUGCUGUGUGCAGUCGGCGGAGGUGGAGAGGUGGGGGUUAAUAUCUGCAGGCAAGGGGAAUUUGUUUGCAGUCCGCAGUUAGAAUUCCACAGUUGUGCAUUAGCAGGACACACCGAUGCCUCUCAAGCUGCCAGACGUUCUCUCCCUCGACUGUCUACUUUGUCUCGCUGCAACUCCAUCUCUUGUUUGAUCUACAGCACGUUCACGUCUCCUUCGUGAUGCAUGGUUCCCUUUCUGUCUGGCUUUUGAUCUACGCCAUCUUUCCUCUCAUCUCGGCCGCUUCAGAUGUUACACCAAUGUUGGGAGAGUCACAGCAGUUGGAGGGAGAAGAGGAGAGAGUUCUUCCUGUUUUAGUUACACAUGAGCUUCUCAGUCAGAGAAUUUAGAAUUCAGACGCAAUUCUAUUGGUCAGUUACCUUUUGAAUGAAGUGAUUUUGGAACAUUUAUUGGAUUAGUAUCAGAUUCUAGAUUGAACUGCAUUUUAAAAUGAUGUUUCUUUGGAGUAAAAUAAUAAUAAUAAUAAAAGUGUGGGUCAUUACAGAGCCUCUUUUUCCCUGUGUGACACGAUAUAAUCUUAUGGCCUCUACUGAAAUGUACAUUUAUAUUCAUAAUUUAAGACUCAAAAAGACUUAUAGUAUCGCAUUUUUAGAAGGAUAUUGUAUCACUUUAUUUUUGUGUUUAGAUUUAUUUAUUUGAAUUUUGUUAAUAAUCUUUUAGAUUUGGAUUCAAAUGAACUUAUUUGAAAUGAAUUCAGUUCAUCUACUAAUUUAAAAUAACGGCUCAUAAUAUGCCUCCUCUAACCGAUGACUGUGAUCAAUAUCUUUUGAAGGAUCUAAUAAUUGGUCUUUUAAGAUUGAUCUCAGCACCAAUUCAAAUGUGACUAACAGUGGAUGCAAAGUGAAUAUCUGAAGGUGGCAGGGGAAUGUAUGGCUGUGAGUGUUGGUUGUGGUAAACUUUGCAGAUGCAGUGGUCUGUGGUGUGACUUCUUCCCCCCAGGCAGCAUAUUGAUGAAAUUCUCAGGCUGGUGAUUAUGUGAUAGAUGCUCUGCCGUGCUAUUGGAAGUGUCAGCGGCUCACGUCACACUGCAACACCCGCAAGUGUGCCAGCUCUCUGGUGCCAGACGGAGAGCUGGAGGAGGUGGGAGUGCAGCGGGGAGGAGGCGAGAUGAAAGCAAAACUGUCACUGAUGUUGAGAAGAUGGCUUGAAAGACUUUGGUGUGAGGAAAAAGGCCUGGGAGACGAGGUGGAGUCAAGGAAGUUCAUGUCAUAAUCCCUGUUAGUGGUGAAGUCACUCGCUCUAUCAAAGUUGUUCUACUAAUGCGUUUAUGGUCCGUGAAAGUCGCACGUCUAUUUAUGAUGACGACAAACAAACCAUUAACAAGACUCGCCAGUCACUACGUCGAGCGGUUGUUACUGUUGCCGGCUGUUCUUUGGUCAUUGUGGGUCGACGGGGUCACAUCUGUAAGAUGAAAGGAGCGGCUGCGGUUGGUUGCUCCUACAGAGGGACGGAGAGGUCAGGAAGUGGCCCCAGCACAAACACCAGACUCAUUGUUCAAGUUCAAGGUAACUCUGAAUAGGGUUUUCUUUCACUGCUCUCGCCCGCAGCUCCAGCCCGGGCGACUUUUUCACUGCAGUUACAGCUAAAACCUCUGUGUCAUGCUGCCGUGGUCGGGAGUGAUGUCAUCCGUUUAUUGAUGAGCUCCUCGAAUGGUGGGGAAAGUGUGUUCUCACACUCGCUCAGGUGUGCGCGCGCUUUCUCGCCCCAGACAAUGAACAAGGUCACAGUCGGAGGGUCGGAUGUCAGGCCCACGUCUCCCCUCCUCCACCUCUGGCGGCCCGCUCCCUCCCUCUCUGUUGUGUCUGUUCAGUUGUCAGCUCCUCAUUAACUCCACACAGGGGAUUUCCUGUUCGCCUCCCUCGCUUGUUCCUCUUCACUUUUCUGUGAAAAAAAAAAAACAAAAAAAACAAGUUGCCAUUGAGAAAACGAUGUAAAGUGAAAUGAUAUAUAAUGAGGAAGAGAGCGCGGUGAGAUCUACAGCGAGACCUGAGCAGCACACGCACGACACACACCGCCACAUCAUUCAGGCUCUGACUCACCCCCUUUAACAGAAAGUCAAUAACAAUACAGGAAUGAUUAAUCAGUCCUCCCCGCACCACUCACCACCUUCCACUCUCAUCUCGCCCUCUCAGCUCAGUAUUGAUCUGAAUGCAUUUGCCUCCCAUUUAUCCGUGAGCCCGUCCCCCCCGUCACACAUGCGCUGCCACCGCAUCGAGCGGUCACAAAGAACCUUUCACACUGGAGUGUCUGGCGGGCACGCUGGUCCGUGCGCCCAACACACACCAGCGCGUGGCGUCUGUAUCCGCAUCGCGGGCUGGCAUUUGUCUUGGUUGUUCCGGGGCGCAGGUCUGAAGCCCUCUCAGAGCUGCAGGUGCUUUAAAGUGUUUGUGUUGCGCACGGGCAUUAGCCUAAACACAUGGCAGCAUUCUUAAAGGGUUUAACUGACAGCUCCUUAACCCCCUCAGCGUUCACUCUCCUGCCACUUGGGUUGGUGGUACCCAGGUUGCCAUGACACCAGACUGUUUUGUCUGCCCUUUGACCCCUUUAAGGGGUGCUGUGGUCAAUCAGGCAUUACAUGUGAGGGGCAAAUAGAAUCAAGAGGUGGGGAAGGGAGGGGGGAUUUCCUCUGUAAAAAUGAGGUCCAAAAGGUUCCUCUAUACAUCCGCUUUGUACAGGGCUGAAGGUGGGGAGCCUCCGAGAGGCUCGUGGGGAAACAAAGACACAUGUGCACGUACAGACUCGGCCGUGCUCAGCGAGGGUAAAUGAACUAGGCUGUGGCUCCCAGGGGGGUCGGGAGUUAUUAUGCUCAUUGUGCAGGCGGCCAACUAAAGCUGUUUGGCUGCUUCUUUUGAAGUUAUAUUUAUCAAACCAGAGCAUGAGGCUUAGCGCUGCAUGCUGGUGAACCGCUUUGUCCACACUCCAUGUGUGCAGGACACAUUUAGAUGCCUGUCUGAUAACAGGAAUUACGCUCCCUCUGAUGUUUGUGCUCGGAAUAUUUGUGUCGCUGUCGCCGACUCUUGUUGUCUCUUCUUACUCUUUCAAGCAGCGGAGGCAUGAAAUUAAAGCACCUCUUUAACACCCGCAGCAAGUGCUUUUCAGAGCGACUAGCACGGUUCCGCAAAUAGAAUGAUCCCAACAUGCAUCUUUACCUGGUCCAGCUUCUACUUGGGUCCCUCUGGGUUCUGUUCAAGGCCCUCGACUCUUUUCACACUGAUUUAAUCUGAAGUCAGGGCUGCCUUUAUCUACCCAUUGGCUUUAUUCCACUCCGUUGAACAAAUUCAGUCAGCUGUCCAUCUUGGGGCCCAUAUAGAAAAAGCUCUAACCUAUAGACAAGUGAAGUUCAUCACCAAUUAACCGCUCAUCCUGAGUCAGGAGGACACGAGUAGACAGUGAAUACGUCUUUCAAUUGACCCAGACGAGUGGGUCUCAAUUACGUUGACGCAAAUAAGUGAACGAAAACAUAGUGACUUUCAGCACCUUGGACUGUAGCUCUCAGGAUGUGGAGUAGAGGGACCGUCUUCUGCUCUGAAUGUCUCUUAAACCUAAUGUAAAGGACGGACUGCAAAACGCCUGCUAUUUAAAGAUGGCUUUUUUUCUGCUGUCUUCUGCUUUAAUCCACACCAUUCGGUGACGACGAAGGUCUGUCAUUUUAGAAGACUGUUGUGUCGUCAGACAGAUGUCAGUCGAGUGCUAGGUUCAUUCGCAGUCCAGAGUUUUAUAGGUUGGUAGCGUUCCAUCGUCUUGCACUGUGACACUUCAGCUGUUGCAGAACCUGAACCUCUGACCUCUCAGUUAAGCAGCUCGUUCAUUCAAGAGGCCUCCCAAUAACCUCUUGUCUUUGUGUGUGUGUGUGUGUGUGUUUCAGCGGGCCUUCUCAUCCUGCUUUCCAAAAAUUCAGCGCACUCGACGGGAGGUGACCUCACGGUAACCUUUUCUCUUCAGCAUAUGCUCGCAGUCUUUCUCAGCCUCACCUUUCAUCCCGCGAUUACCUUUAAUGGUGGAAUUUAGAACCAUUUGUGAUGCUCAAGUUGCCUGGGUGUCAUGUCAGAAAUAUCACACAUGUAUGUUGCAGCACAUUUCCUCUGCCUGCAUGUAGCCUCGCAAGAUAAAAUGAUUGGAAUUCACCAGGCUUUCAGCUGCGCGUCGAUGACUGUCUUCCUCCUACAGGUUCAGCUCAGAAAGAUAGAGGCGGCCGGGUGCUCGCAUGACAUUAGUGGGAGUCUCCAGGGUGACUUGUUGGCCCUUGGGGAGGUCACGAUGCUUCAUAAAAUCACCUCUGACUUCACGAUGCGCAGAGUCUUGCAGUGUAAACUCACAGCAUCGUGUAAAUAUUGACCUCCACCACUCACGGGCCAAAGUAAUUAACAUUUACAGUCCAGUGCUGGAGAUGAUUUAAAAGGAAAUAUGAAGCGUCUGUUUUCAUAUUCUGUGGCUACUUGGUGCAUACUAGAGUCCUUACCUUUAAUACUGAUGCACAUGAACACUCAUUCUGGAUCCAGCUCAGGUAGCAGGUAUAUUGAGGUGUUACAUCUAAGGUGUCUAGGCAAAGUUGUGUAUUAAAGGUCAUUGAAAUAAGCUUUAUUAAAAAGCCUAAAGUUAUAUUUAAGCCAAUUCUCUAUCAUUGCGUGUUCGUUUCAAAUAAAUUAUUUAUUAUAAACCUGUUUGGUCGCAAGCAAAUGUUGGUGUACUGAAUUGUGCAUCAACAUUUCGAUGGGAGAAUUUGUGUUUAAUAUUCAUGCCGCCCUUAUUUGCCAACUCGUGGUGGAUGAUCUUUCUGACACGAGAACUCGCGGAGACUCCCGGGGAGACAGGCUUCUCAUUUUCACCCGGAUACAUCGGCUAUCGCUCGUGUGAUUGGAAAGUUGGGAGGGAGGCGCUAAGACAGGCCACACACCAGCCCGGCGUCCGUGGAUUGACAGAUGUGCCAUAGCAACACUUUGGCUAGUUGCCAGGCUGUUUGAGUUGCCAGGCAAAGAGUUCCCAUGGCAACAUUACAUUUUGCCAUCCCGGUGUACGAGGCUGGUGUCAGCCAAAGAGGCACGGCGCUUCUCUACCUGCCUGAAAAUGUGCUGGGAACGCGGCGGCUGCCGUGUUUUUUUACGAGCGUUGUGGUCCUCGUUUGAGUUGCUCUGCUGUUGCAUCAUCUUCCUUUCACAACCUGCACUUCCCAGAGAUAACCUCAGUGGAGGACUGGCCAGGAAAGUCUGUGUGCCAGGGCUGCGCUAUUACAUUUCCAUAGCUGGACUCCAGUGCAGAGCAAAAUUCAACCAAGACAAAGCAGUGAUAUUGCUGGAAUUAAAUAGGACCGUAAAGACAUCAAUGGAAUUAUAUUUAAAAGCUUUGAUCAGUGUGUGAUUCUUAUUUCUGUAUAGCGUGUUUGAAGACACAAAUUAAAUAUGUGGGCUGAAAAGCGACGCACUGAAGCCCAAAAACCCAAAUCAUUUCAGGACAAAUCAUAAAGUGAAUAUGCUUUAAUGCUGCUAAAUAUCUUUUAAACAUGCAAAUCUGUUUUAAUGUAUAGAUUUUAAUUUUGAAGAUGUCAAAAUAAACCAUUGUUUUAAAUAUUAAAAUCAAUAUUUUGUCAUUUUAGGGAAAAGAAAAACUGAAACGAGAAAUUGGCCUCUGAAUAAGUAAUAAGAAGAAACAAGGCAGCAUGUCUUUGUGGUCAGUUUUGCACUGACUUCAUCAGGGAGGUUUUGAAUGUCGCCCAGACGUCUAAAAGUGUGACCUCAUUCACAAACUUUGCCGGCCCGAAGGUGAAUGAGCAGAAAUUGGGAAGGAUCGCUGACAAAGUACACAUCACAAUUCGACUGUGAAAAUCAGGCAGACAGCGCUGUGAGGCAGAAACGGUUGCUGGCUUUUUUUCCAAGCAGGUGUGAACAGAAUAAGAAGCCUGAUGCUGGGAGACACAGGGAGGUAAAAGGGUAAGCAGCAGCAGCAGCAAUGGGGGACCCAUGUGGAGCCAGCCAGAGCCGGGAUGAAAAGGGGGCGAGGAGUGAAUGGGAUUAAGACCUACCAAGUGAAAGUGUGGAGGCGACAAUAGGACACAGUCCACCUGGAGCAUGCUUGACAGUUGAUCCUAUAUUCGUCUUGCGUAAAGAUCAAAUAUAUAGUUUCUUGAAUGUGUGCAGCUGCAUCGCCCCCUGUUCAUUAAUCAUGGCGGUUCAACCCUCGGAAAGCCAUUCAUCUUGACUGUGAGUCCAUUGUAAACAGGGCGAUAUGCGGUGAGCAGAAAUUCAGCAGGCUUAGCUCACGCACUGAUCUCCUGUGUAACGUAAUGCUUCUUUGUUAGAAGAUUCCUUUAGUCCCACUAGCCUGGCAGCAUUUUCAUGGAGAGACUAUACAGCUCCCACACGCUGCGCCCCUUUAUGUCAGCGUCACGGACAAGGUUGUCUUUAUGCUCCUGCAUGAAGACAGUCCUCAGUCGAAUCCAGCGAAAGACGCCUGAUAAUUGGGCUGUCAGCAAGUUCCUCACGGUAGCUGGAAGUUGUCACCUGUAGCACCUGCGUGUGGAGAAACACUCGUGCUGUCUGCAUUGCAGCAGAGCCACCUUCGCGGCUGCUUUCCCGUUUGAACUUCCUGAGGGUCAGGAGCCUUUAAAGCCGCCCUGGCCAGUUGGUUUUCAGGGGGGGGGGUGUCCCGCUGCAGAGACGGGGUGUGGCAGGAACCCUGGCACGUUGGCCGGAUGGGAUCAGGCGAUGGAAGAGAAAUGAUGCGUGAAAAAAGCCAAGCUGUGCUAUUAUCGAACCUUUAAACAGACGGAUGGGAUGUCGAUAAACAGCCCUGCUUCAUGCCAAGUCAGGCCUGUGUCACGCUCUCACACGCUGCAGCGGAGGACAGUAGCCUUCCAUCACUGAGGCCAACUUCUCUUUCCCUCCACUUGAUUUGACAUAUUACAUACAUAUCUUAUAUGUAAUAUAACUCACUCAGCGGUGUAGGUGGACAGCUUAACACUUAAAACACCGGGAUGCCAUGUUACGCAGUCACCACUAGAGGGCGACAACUCCCAAGAAAUGAGUGGAAAAGCAUGAAUGAAGCGAGUAGUACUCAUACCUGCCUGAGAAAUACAUUCGAUGCUGUCCUCUUUUAUAGUUGUUGCUUAGGUUCUUUAGAUGAAAGUCAAAGUGGGGGUAGUGGUUUUAUCAUUGAAAAGCCACCGGAGUGAGAAACUUUGGGUCUUCUUUGCUGUGAGUUUGGAGAGGGAGGGGUGAGGUGAUGUGCUGGCGGGGAGAUGGGAGUCAGACACACACGCACACGCACGCACACACACGCACACACACGCACACGCACGCACACACACGCACACACACACACACGCACGCACACACACGCACACACACACACACACACACACACACACACACACACACACACACGCACGCACACAUCCUGCUGGCGAGGAUCUUGUCUGGAGAGCCGCUUGACUGUCUGUGCUCUGCAGUGUGAGGUAGUUGGUUGUAUGGUUUCGCAUAAUAAACAGCAAGGAGAUAACUGUACAACCUUCUAGCUUUCCCUGCGGAGUCACUCCCCGCCUCGUCUAAUGUGCCCCCAGCAGAGAGGUAAGUAUGUUGCUUCAGGAUCUCCCCGUGCUUAAUGAUAAAGACAUUUCCAGCGCCGCAUCUAUUAAGGCCUCAAGGUCUUAUUAGUUAUAUUCCCUCCGCAACUUCUUUAUUAAGUGUGCGGCACUUCACCGAGCUGGUUUGACGUACUGACCGCCGCGUUUGCAGCACUGCAGCAGAGACACCUUCACGGCCUGACCUGUAACCUCACCGAGCAUUAUACGGGAAGUGUGGAAAUAACGUUUUUUUUCUCUCUCUGAAUCACACUACAGGUAUAGAGGCCUCCGUGAGUAGCGCACCAGCGACGACACCCAGCUUUCUGAACCCGACAACCUCCCCGCCGCCGCUCAUUUGUCAGGUACACACAGCAGCCAUCUGCACUGCGUUAUGUAGCAAAGUCUCCUCCCCGCCUGGGGAAGGAGGGGGAAAUGGGUCAUAUAUAUAUAUAUAUAUAUAUAUAUAUAUAUAUAUAUAUAAGGUCUUGCUGAUUCGGCAGUGUCGGCCGUCUUUAUCGUGGUGUGCCAGAAGGCUGGGCUGGAUGUGGGGUGCAGGUGUGUGCGGUGAAGAUGGCGUCUCCCCGUCACUUCACGACGUCCGGUGUUUGGACGUCUGGACUGGUUUUUCGUGAAUCUCUGAUGAGUCCGUAGGUUUGCACACACGCGCUUCCCGACCCAUAGCUAGACAAGGCAGACGCUACCCCAGACUGAUGAUGUCAUCCCUGUAGAGCACUCCUGGUGCUUUGUCUCUCAGCAGCACUGCAGAGUGCAGCCGCAGGCUCUUCAACACACACACACACACACACACACCUACACACCUGUCCGUGACAUCUGUAUUGACACUCAAGUUAUGAAAAUGCUCGUGGCUGCUCGUGUGAAAGACCUCGUGGCACCCAGAUAACCGCGGACUCACGCGCUAUACACCCUCUGUGUUGUAGCCGUUCCUUUGUGGCGGGGAUGCAAGAUCAAAUGGAGGUGAGGCGCUGCAGCGCUGGUGCCUCUGAUGAUGGACGGGCUCCUCGCUGAUUCCAGUGGCAGAGGAGGACGGAUGGAUGCUCACAGUUAGUCCUGUUCUGAAGUGCUUUUGUCUGGUGUCAGAGGCCUUUCUCCUGGUGCCUCGCUCCACACUCGCCGACAACUCAUUUGCCGUAAACCUGCGGCGCCUGGACGGUAUUCAAGCGUUCCGCGUGGUGUUUAUGCUCCAUCCUGCAGACGGCCAGUCAGUGGCUCUAACUGAGAUCUUCUGUCGUUUUCUGGCUGUCCCUCGGGGCCCAGUGAUUGUGUUAGCCAGCGCACACCACUGUUCCUCUCGCUGCUCACCAAUAUGAAAUUGUGCGGCGCAGGUGAGACGAUGCCAAGGCUUUGAAGCGCCUGCUCUCCUUAUUCUCUGUUGCUUAUUGUCUGGUCAACUGGUGUUGCGGCUGCGGCCCAUCGAUCUGAUGGCGCCGUGAUUGCCGUACAAAUCGGAGCAGGCAGUUAUUGUGAGCUCUCAGGUUCAUGAGACUCCUGGGCUUCAUAUUUUCUCCCCAUUCUCAUCCUAUUAGAGCGCUCUGACCCUCCCCCUCCAUCCCCACUUUCUGCUAGCCUCUCUGCCAACCCCCUCCCAUCUCACACACACACACACACGCACGCACGUCCUCUCCUUUUUUUCGUGCACACACACACGCACACUCAUGCACCCCUUGCACUCGCCGCCGCUGACACGUUCACACGUAGAGCUCGCAGACUGAAGUGUGUUUGCGUGCGUCAGAAGGAGGAGAAGGAGGCACAGGGUGGGAACUGGAGAGGGGACCGUGAACGCACCGGUGAGGAUGCGGGUUUCAUGGUGAUGAGCACAGCAACACUUGUAAGAGCUGCUUCUGUUUCUCCUUCUUUCCAGCUGGAGGACGCUACCGCCGGCACCUAUGGAAGGGAAUGACGCCGUCAAUACUUGUUCUGUGAGCGAUGGGCGCGCUGUCUGGCCACUGCGCGGACCAUUGAGGGAGGGAGCGAGAGAGAGAGAGAGAGAGAGAGAGAGAGAGGGGAGGGAGACGGUGAGGCGGAGAGAGCUGCUUUACUACUGAGGCUGAUUGAGAAAGAAGAGGCGCUCUGUAAGGUGAUCCCACAAUUUUGCAUAUUUUACUGGAAGUCGGAGAGAGUGAAUGUUCCGACUCUUAUUUUGACGUCCACGCCGUUCAUGUAAGUGUCUGUCGAGAUAUCGUAAUGAGCGUUUGAAUUGACGUCGGCUUCUGCUGGAUUGGCUUGACACGGUCGCCUGGCAGGGAAAUUAGCCGCUGCCACAUCACGCACCGCGGCCAAUCUUUGAAAUAAUAGCCAUGUAUGUCAGCUGUAAUUACCACCGGUGCAAGCUCAGUGGGCAUCUGAAGUUUCAGCUGCCUUGCAUUGAAGCAGCGUCACAAUCUGGGGAAGCAGCUUUGUCGUGGAUUGGAGAAAAAAAAACUUAAUGGUGGUUUGUGACGCAGGAGCAAAGUUGUUUUGGUGUAAAAAAAAAAAAAAGCGUUUGAAUGUAGUUUUUAACAUGCUGAAAUAACUGGCUGGUAUUUGAAAAUUGGAACAGUAUUUCACUUCCACUGUUGCUGUUCUCUCUGUCUGCCAAAAGGGGGCGCAUACGUCUGCAGAGGAAAUCUAUGUAUUUCUGAAGCAAGCAUUGCAUCCUGACUGGAGCACUUUUUCUCGUCUCCUCCUGCAGGCCUCCAUCCCCUGUGAUAAGGACGUGGUAGAUGUCCUUCAUGCAUACUCAGGUUUAUGAGCUGCAUAAGUGUUGUGAUGUUAUUGCUGAUAUUUUGUGUUUGACUUAAAAAAUACAGGCAUAAUGGCAGUUUUUAAAGUGAGAAAUGACCCAAGUGUUUGGCUCAAGUUUUCAGUUUGAAUCCAUUUUAAGAGUGGCUUUUUAAUUCUGGACACUAAUGUCAGUAAAACAAAGUGUCCGUCCGGGGCCAGAGGUGUCCCCAGCGUGUGUGUGUGGAUCUUCCGCUCAGACUCUCCGCAGCAGACCCAGACUCCAGUGGCUGCUGCAGAAUCCAAAUGUCAGAUGAGGUCAGUGCGACAACUAUGCGGGUUCGUUUUCUGUAUGAAUUCCUUCCCUCUUAUUUGUUCUCUGUGUGACUUAUUUUCCUUUCCCAGUAUGCCCCUCUGUCCCUGAGACCCUUAACCUGUGAGGUCAAAGCAGGUCACAGGUGAGGUCCUCGGGAACAGGGCUGCAUUCAGUUUCAACACAGCCAGUACCUUGAAGGUGGUUCCCACCUGGCCGCUGGGCUCCAGACCCACUGGAAGCUCGGUCACCUGUGUAUGGGGGCCGACCCUCCCGGCUGGCUUUGUGAUCCAGCCCUUUGGGGGUUCUAUAGGAAGACAGCCGAGGGUUGUGACCCCGACGUUUUCACCAGCGUCAAAGAUGCAAAGCAGUUUUCCAUCAAACAUAUUGAAUAACUAACGGUUUUAACUGCUAGCUUCAACUGUUUUUUUUUUCUGGAACUGCUAGUUGCUGUGCUCCCAGACGUCAAAUGCACCGUUCUCGACCCUCUGUCUGGACACAAGUUUGUCACCUGACUUGUGCCUAUUGAUCGCCUUGUCUGCCUGCAGACAGAUGAAUGCAUUAGUACCCUGCUCACCCUGCCACUGGAAAUAUAUUAAGUUCAUGUAUUAGGCACCCUGUCUGGUUGCCAUGGAGAUGCACUGCUAGUGAGGGA